CCUCGAAAUUUAAAGAGCGAUUUAGUCCCGCUGGUACUACAUGGAAGCGGGUAGACCCAGAUAUGAAGCAAUUUUAUUACGAUGAGUUUUUGAAAAGAUAUACUUGGGAGACAGAGCACGAGGCAGAAUUUUAUGCUACCUGGAACGCAGCUUGUGCCAAACUAUACAAAGACAUGCUAUAUAAA